rnacentral:rRNA from 1 species
UACAGAGGUCCCAAGCGUUGUUCGGAUUCAUUGGGCGUAAAGGGUGCGUAGGCGGCGCGGUAAGUCGGGUGUGAAAUCUCGGAGCUUAACUCCGAAACUGCAUUCGAUACUGCCGUGCUUGAGGAGCUGGAGAGGAGACUGGAAUUUACGGUGUAAGCGGUGAAAUGCGUAGAUAUCGUAAGGAAGACCAGUGGCGAAGGCGGGUCUCUGGACAGUUCCUGACGCUGAGGCACGAAGGCCAGGGGAGGCAAA